UAGCCACCUUGCUUUCCCCCACUGUGGAUCUUGGAACAAAAAUUAAGAUGUUUCCAGUAAAAAAAAAACAAAACAAAGCAAAAUAAACCCCCUUCCCCCUUCAAUUUGGGCUGCUUCUGCUAGAGGCCAAGUAAUGGUGGUGAUGACUGCAUAAAUUACCCAGGACUGAGGUCUCCAGAGCUGCUGCUUGGGUUCCCAUCAUGCUGUGAGUAAGCACUGUGUUUCCACUGCGGCUGCAAAGGGUGAUGCUGUCUUUGGGAGAGUUUGUUUCACUGGGGCUUCUGAAGACUCUUUGAUGGGCAGUGUAUGUGGCAGACGGUACAAGAAAAAAGCAGGCAAAUUCCAGCCUUUUAAGAAGCUCUUCGGCAAGAGGAAGAAAAGAGAGCCCGCGUCAGAUUGCGAGGAAGCCAAACUGAAGCCCAGCCACUCCUUUGGCAACGUCUGCAACGGCACCUUCUCCUCCGAUGAAGAGCCAAACGGCGGUCUGAGGUCCUCCCAUUAUUCUAUGGGCAGUCGAGCUUUUUCCCAUGACAGUAUUUUUAUACCUGAUGGGAGAACAGAGAGUGAACAGGCCAUCCAAGCAAUGUCACAGGAGAAC
rnacentral:lncRNA from 1 species